AGUGGGAGGUCCUUUGGACGAAACAAGCAGCCCAAAACGAGCGCGCGGCCAUGUUGAAUUGUCGAUAAUCCGAAAGAAGAGACAAAAGAGUGAAAACUCGGUGGAUUUCUCGAAACAGCGAGUAUUUACCGAACUUAAUUAAACUGUCGACGAAACGUUAAGCAACGACGCAACAGGGAAGAUUGUUGGUGGAUGUAGCAAAGUGUAACCUGGAGUUUUUGUUGGUCGGCAAUUCCCAAAGCACUUUGCAGACUGUCAUCUCAAACGUUUGCUGCACAAGUAAACGCAACUGGAACAAGAUAACCACAUACAUUUAAACUGGACUGUUCAUGUUAAAGACACAAUUGCUGGAGUUACUUUUUUGAGCCCCAGCAAAGACGUUUGAAGAAUUUUUGAUGUCAAAGGAACAAAUCGUAACAGUCAGACGUGACGAAGCAGAUCAUAUUUUACUACUGGUCAUUUUGAAUGUAUAAACAAAGCACUUGGACCUAAAAAGCCAAGAUACUCGAAGGGCACAAAAAGAAAAUUCUGGAUCAUCGUUACAGCAGGAUAAGAGUACUCUAACAAACGAUUUUGAAACAAGAGUAUGUUUUGGUCACAUAAUUGAUUUAUUUAUUCAUAUGAAUGUUAUUUCUCCCUUUUUCGGAGAGUUGUCUUGUAAAUAGACAGAAUUCAUAAGCAGACCUCUUCUUUUCAAGAGGCCUGGACGUCAGAUUGUGUACACAAUACAUUCUUUA